AUUGAACGCUGGCGGCAUGCCUUACACAUGCAAGUCGAACGGCAGCAUGGAGGAGCUUGCUCCUCUGAUGGCGAGUGGCGAACGGGUGAGUAAAGCAUCGGAACGUACCGUGUAGUGGGGGAUAACGUAGCGAAAGUUACGCUAAUACCGCAUACGCACUGAGGUGGAAAGCAGGGGAUCGCAAGACCUUGCGCUAUACGAGCGGCCGAUGUCAGAUUAGCUAGUUGGUAGGGUAAAGGCCUACCAAGGCGACGAUCUGUAGCGGGUCUGAGAGGAUGAUCCGCCACACUGGGACUGAGACACGGCCCAGACUCCUACGGGAGGCAGCAGUGGGGAAUUUUGGACAAUGGGCGCAAGCCUGAUCCAGCCAUUCCGCGUGCAGGACGAAGGCCUUCGGGUUGUAAACUGCUUUUGUACAGAACGAAAAGCUCUGGGUUAAUACCCUGGGGUCAUGACGGUACUGUAAGAAUAAGCACCGGCUAACUACGUG
rnacentral:rRNA from 1 species